rnacentral:rRNA from 1 species
GCAUUGCGGCGUCUACCAUGCAGUCGAACGGUGAAGCUCAGCUUGCUGGGUGGAUCAGUGGCGAACGGGUGAGUAACACGUGAGCAACCUGCCCUCCACUUCGGGAUAAGCCUUGGAAACGGGGUCUAAUACCGGAUAUGAGUGUCUGCCGCAUGGUGGGUGCUGGAAAGUUUUUCGGUGGGGGAUGGGCUCGCGGCCUAUCAGCUUGUUGGUGGGGUGAUGGCCUACCAAGGCGUCGACGGGUAGCCGGCCUGAGAGGGCGACCGGCCACACUGGGACUGAGACACGGCCCAGACUCCUACGGGAGGCAGCAGUGGGGAAUAUUGCACAAUGGGCGAAAGCCUGAUGCAGCGACGCCGCGUGAGGGAUGACGGCCUUCGGGUUGUAAACCUCUUUCAGCAGGGAAGAAGCGCAAGUGACGGUACCUGCAGAAGAAGCGCCGGCUAACUACGUGCCAGCAGCCGCGGUAAUACGUAGGGCGCAAGCGUUGUCCGGAAUUAUUGGGCGUAAAGAGCUCGUAGGCGGUUUGUCGCGUCUGGUGUGAAAUCCCGAGGCUCAACCUCGGGCUUGCAUCGGGUACGGGCAGACUAGAGUGCGGUAGGGGAGACUGGAAUUCCUGGUGUAGCGGUGGAAUGCGCAGAUAUCAGGAGGAACACCGAUGGCGAAGGCAGGUCUCUGGGCCGCAACUGACGCUGAGGAGCGAAAGCAUGGGGAGCGAACAGGAUUAGAUACCCUGGUAGUCCAUGCCGUAAACGUUGGGCACUAGGUGUGGGGCUCAUUCCACGAGUUCCGUGCCGCAGCUAACGCAUUAAGUGCCCCGCCUGGGGAGUACGGCCGCAAGGCUAAAACUCAAAGGAAUUGACGGGGGCCCGCACAAGCGGCGGAGCAUGCGGAUUAAUUCGAUGCAACGCGAAGAACCUUACCAAGGCUUGACAUGCACCGGAACUGCCAGAGAUGGUGGCCCCGCAAGGUCGGUGCACAGGUGGUGCAUGGUUGUCGUCAGCUCGUGUCGUGAGAUGUUGGGUUAAGUCCCGCAACGAGCGCAACCCUUGUCCCAUGUUGCCAGCGGGUUAUGCCGGGGACUCAUG